rnacentral:lncRNA from 1 species
GAGGUUUAUUUUUCUAGUAAUGUGGAUUAAGUGAAUUCGACUUGGUUGUAUUAUUUUUGUUUUAUUUUUGUUUAAUUGCGUUUUAUUUUAUUUUAUUUUUUUUCUGUAAAAGUGCUUUUAGGGUGUGUUUCUUGUGUAUGCAGGAAACAAUACAUACUAGAAGCAGGAAAAACCAGCAACCUCUGUUACAAGGUCUACCAUACGAAAGGAGAAAGAGACAUCCUUCACGUGAGAGAUCUCCUUCUCCAGAAGUUAUUUCGCAGUCUUCGCUUGAGACUUUUGCACCAGAUCUUGAGGAGAUGGCCAACCAACCUCCUCCUAGACGUACUUUGGAGGACACAGCAAAUGCAGUAGGCCCC